rnacentral:lncRNA from 1 species
CCAGAAGGUUAUCUGUUCUCUUAGGUAUUUCCUUGAACACUGAAUGGACACAAAUGCGGUACAAAACCCAGUGAUAAACCUUACCACACCCCCCCCCCCACCAAAAAAAAACUCCCCAACAAAGAAGAAAAAGCAUGAUUCACGGCGCAGGCAAACCAACACCCACUAAAUUAGAUUUAAUAAAACUAGCAUUAACGAUACCCUCUUUUGCAUUAGCUGACCAGACAACUUUCCAACUUUAAAGCAAGAAAAUCUCAAGACCAUAAUGCACAGAAAAAAGAGGCAGCAAUCUACUCAUCAUUGUGCUCCUUCACUAGAAGAAUAAAUAUUUCAUCAAUUUAAACCAUGCUAAACUCUUUGCUCGGUUUUCCUUAGCCGAAACACAUGAAGAAACCAUUAGAGAGGGAAGAAAAUAUUUCCAAGAUCUAUCGUCAUUGUAAGUCUCGAGCCACAGAUCCAACUGCUGAAUUCAAUACACAAAAGAAGAGAAUAAAUUAAAGGUGCAAAAACAGAAUAAAGACCAUAAAAUCGAAUCAUCUCAUCUCGAGCCAUAGACAUGGAUUAACAAGUCAAUAUAUAAAACCGAAAAGAUUUGGUACGGGAGAAAUCCGGAAGAACGAGAAGGGAAAGAAGGAAUCUUACCCCUGAUGGACCGCGGCGACUAGAAGAAGAGAGGGUAGAGAGCAAAUGGGGGGAGGAGGGUUUUAGGGACGCUAGGGUUUCGGCUUCUCAGUGGCCACAUGAGAGGAAUGGCGUUUGGGACCUUAUAUAGUGCUGAAAUGGCUAACGUGGCGGCGCCUGGCGGCGAGCAAUCGAUAUCCCCUUUAGCACGGAUCCAUCCCGGUUUUUUUGG